GACGAACCGAGCGAACGUUGUUCGGAAUCACUGGGCUUAAAGGGCGCGUAGGCGGGUUUGCAAGUCCGGGGUGAAAUCCCACAGCUCAACUGUGGAACUGCCUCGGAUACUGUGAGUCUCGAGGGUGGCAGGGGUAUGCGGAACUAUCGGUGGAGCGGUGAAAUGCGUUGAUAUCGAUAGGAACUCCGGUGGCGAAGGCGGCAUACUGGUCCACUUCUGACGCUGAGGCGCGAAAGCCAGGGGAGGCAAACGGG
rnacentral:rRNA from 1 species